CGGUUUUGUGUGGGAAAAAUGACAACAUAGCGACAGUGUUUAUCCAGAAGCGAAAAACAGUAUUUUACUGAGAUUUUAACGUCAAUAUAAAGGUUAUUCCGUGAAAAAUCAAGACAACUAUAGAAUGAAAGUAUAAUUUUUCGAAUUUGACAUUAAUAUGAAAGAAAACAAGAGGUCAAAAAUCACAAGAGAACGUCAAAUGUCAUUGAUUCGUACGGGAAAAUAUGAACUAUGGCUGUGGCUCGAUAACAUUCUGCAAGCAGCUUACGAGUUUAAAAAAUGAAGGCUACAUUACCUGAGUGAGUUGUAAUCUUAUUUCUUCAACAAUAGUUUCAUAUUUCUUACGAUUUUGGUGUUGUAUAGACGUUUUGUAGCCUUGUUGGUUGUUUGUUUUGGCCAUACAAACUACGACAAUAAUACAAAGUCAAAGGUUUCCUUUUUCGAUUGACUCCAGCAUCUUUUGCUUUAAAUAUCAUGUUAUAUUUUCUCAGAAGUAUUUUUUUCAACUUUCAAACUCAGUUUUAUAGAUAUUAUUUUCGAAAAAAGCCGUAAUAUUCACGAAAAAAAGCUGCCAUAGGCGACAGCAAAAAAAACAUUUUUUCAAUUUUCCCGCGUUUUUCCCCGUUUCCUAGGAUACAAGGCCUCGAUCACGAUUUAUGAAUAAGGUCUAU